rnacentral:rRNA from 1 species
AUUGAACGCUGGCGGCAGGCCUAACACAUGCAAGUCGAGCGAGCGGCGGACGGGUGAGUAAUGUAUGGGGACUGCCCGAUAGAGGGGGAUAACUACUGGAAACGGUGGCUAAUACCGCAUACUAUCGGAUAACCCAUAGGGGAGUAGCUAGUAGGUGGGGUAAAGGCUCACCUAGGCGACGAUCUCUAGCUGGUCUGAGAGGAUGAUCAGCCACACUGGGGAUUAGACACGGCCCCAACUCCUACGGAGGCAGCAUUGGGGAAUAUUGCAGAAUGGGAGGAAGCCUGAUGCAGCCAUGCCGCGUGUAGGAAGAAGGCCUUAGGGUUGGAAAGUACUUUCAGCGAGGAGACGUUACCCGCAGAAGAAGCACCCGCUAAAUCCGUGCCAGCAGCCGCGGUAAUUC